AUUUGGUGUCAAGGGGGUGAUGGACUUGACUUCAUUUUGUAUUAUACAACAAGGUAUAUCCAUCAGGAUAUACCUUUUCAUCGAAUUGGAUGCUCGCAGAAAGGGAAGAAAUACAAAUUGUUUCUUCAUUCUUUUCCAAGUUGACUAUAUAGAACUGUCUGAGUGUUACUUUUUUCCUCCAAGUUUAGUUAGUAACUGCUGGACAUGUCUAGACCCUCUGAAGAUUUUUGAAUGACUGCUCAUUUUUCACUCAUUCUCUUUUCAUCCUAGAUCACCUCUGUCCUUUUGAUUUCACCUUUCCUGGGAAAAACCAGAUGCAUUUUCUUUGCUUAUUGUUUGAAAAGAAGUGAUCAUGUUUUUUCAUUAUGUGGGAUGGCAGAUUUAGUUCUACAUACAUAUAUUACAUAUAUAUUCUUAC
rnacentral:lncRNA from 1 species